rnacentral:rRNA from 1 species
AACGAACGCUGGCGGCAGGCCUAACACAUGCAAGUCGAACGCCCCGCAAGGGGAGUGGCAGACGGGUGAGUAACACGUGGGAACGUACCCUUCGGUUCGGAAUAACACAGAGAAAUUUGUGCUAAUACCGGAUACGUCCGAGAGGAGAAAGAUUUAUCGCCGAUGGAUCGGCCCGCGUCUGAUUAGCUUGUUGGUGAGGUAACGGCUCACCAAGGCGACGAUCAGUAGCUGGUCUGAGAGGAUGAUCAGCCACACUGGGACUGAGACACGGCCCAGACUCCUACGGGAGGCAGCAGUGGGGAAUAUUGGACAAUGGGGGAAACCCUGAUCCAGCCAUGCCACGUGAGUGAUGAAGGCCCUAGGGUUGUAAAGCUCUUUUACCUGGGAAGAUAAUGACUGUACCAGGAGAAUAAGCCCCGGCUAACUUCGUGCCAGCCGCCGCCGUAAUAC